GGCCCCUAAAGAAUAGAGCUGAGUGAAUUUUUUUUGGACAAAUUCACCAAGUUGUUUUGGUAAAAACAAACAAUUUCUGAAGGACAUUGACACAUUUUGAUUUUUCAAUUCAAAAUUACUUUGUUUCUAAUUUUACUUCAAUUUUAUUUUUUAAAGAGGUAAACAGCAGACCAAACAAAAUAUUUUGUUUUGGACUGACAGAAACGUUUUGUUAGAUAUAAAACUUUUUCACUUCACCAAAAAAUUUGUAUUUUUUUUUCAGAAAGCUGUUAUUCACACAGCUCUACUAAAGAAUGACAGAAAAAUGUAUCUUCACUCUCACCUCGCCAUCUGAUUGCUGGCCCGAACUUGCUGGUUGACAACAGUGGUUUGAGCCCAUCACCAAUUAAACAGAUGAAUGACAAGGGAAAAUGCUGUUCAGAUUUGCACAGUGAGCAUCAACUCCAAGCAAACAAGAUGCUUGUGAGCUAAGCUCCAAGUGCUGCAUCUAGCCGUGAAAUCUACUUCCGCAUUUUAGGCCCUUCUUCUCCACCAAACAGGACAGGAUGCAUGGCCUAUUCUCAGUGUGAAGACAGCUUCUGCUCAGCACGUCACAAAAAAACAAACAAGAGCUAUUGCCGUCUUCUCCAUCAAUCUCUGCUUAUUGUUGUCAUCCACAUCCUUGCGCAGCCCUGAUUCCACCAACCACCUUCCAGCAAAGGUAAAGUCAGUGGAUUUUGGGUGGAGGGGUUGUGAUUAGGAGGAGGUGGACUUUUGAUUUCUUUCUCCCACUGUUCCUUUAUAAACAAUUAUUACUGUGAGACACUGAAAGAGAGAGAGAAUUGGAGACAGGGUGAAACUGAACUUUCUGUACUUUCUAAGGCUGUUUCACGUGGAAAGAAAGGGGCUCAUUAAAAUCCAGUCGAGUCUGACAUUUUCCCUUUUACCUUUUCAAUCUUUUUAUAGUUUCAAAUCAUUAAC
rnacentral:lncRNA from 1 species